CAGCCGCCGCGGGAAUACGUAGGUGGCAAGCGUUGUCCGGAAUUAUUGGGCGUAAAGCGCGCGCAGGCGGAUAGGUCAGUCUGUCUUAAAAGUUCGGGGCUUAACCCCGUGAUGGGAUGGAAACUGCCAAUCUAGAGUAUCGGAGAGGAAAGUGGAAUUCCUAGUGUAGCGGUGAAAUGCGUAGAUAUUAGGAAGAACACCGGUGGCGAAGGCGGCGACCUGGUCCUUUGCUGACGCUGAGGUGCGAAAGCGUGGGGAGCAAACAGGAUUAGAUACCCCGGUAGUCCCUGUCUCUUAUACA
rnacentral:rRNA from 1 species